GCCAUAGCUCAGUGGCAGAGCAUCUGCUUGGCAGGGAGAAGGUCUAGGUUCAAUCACUGGCAUAUCCA
rnacentral:tRNA from 1 species